UUUAUUACCUGACACUCUAAUAUUUUCACAUCGGAUGAAAAUAAAAAUAUUAUUAAGUAUAUAAGAGAAUUUUAUCAUAAUAAUAAUAACUGAAUUAUUUUGAAGCGAUGGUUUUGGAUUCAACGAAUUAUUAUUACUAGUGAGUUAGGUCAUUACAUUUGAUGUUAGUUCACCAAUCAAAAAUAUAAGGUGAGUCUUAUUUGAGCCAAAGUCGGUAAUAAUACACUAAAGUAUUAGAGUCGGUUUACCAGUCGGAAGUGUGAGAUGAGUCUUGACUGAAAUAGUUAGGAUCGGGUCUUGCACAUUACCUAUUGAUCUUAGAUUGUGUUUAGGACAGUCUAUUCUACAUCAGGCCACCCUAUCCUAAUAAUAAUAACUGAAUCUAAACAUUUUGGGUCAACAGUUUUGGGCCCAACAAAUUAUUAUUGUUAAUGGACCGGAUCGUUACAUAUUAUCAGGUUAAUCUUUCGACCCAAUAAGUUACUAUUGCUAGUGUGCUGGGUCGUUGUAUACUAUCAUAUUAAUCCUCACUUAUCACUCUAUUCAGAAUGAAUCGGAACAAAAGUAAAUUUUUGAAUGAUCGAAAUAAAAAAAAAAAUUCUACUCAUUUACUUAGCAGAUCAGAAUGGAUUUGAAAUGGAUUAUAUUUUUUACUUUUUCAGUUUUUACUUACCGCCACAUUCGGAGUGAAUCAAGAUGGGAGCUCAACUAGCUCGGAUCCAUUUGCAUCCCUAGUAAGAAGCCAAUGAGUACAAUUAUUCAAAAUUUUAUACAAAUUCAAAUUCGAACGAUUUUAAUUAAUACUAAAUAUAUAUAAUUUCAAUUAUGGACAAAAUUGGCCAAUUCAUGUUCAGUCAUAGUUUCUAUGCUAUCGAAAGUAUAGAGAAUCUGAUGCUUCCGACUUUUUGGCUUUUAGAUCAGCCCCUUUUAUCAUUUCUAAUCUUUAGAUUAAUACUAUUGCUCUGUGGAGCUCACUUAACCCUAGAGAUACUACUCAAUCCUGAGGGACCGCAAUUAUUCCAAUCGUGCAAUUCUUAAUCCAAAAGUAAAAAAAUCGAAAGUAUCAAAUUCUCUAUAUUUUCGAUAGUAUAGUAGCUUUACAUUAUAUAUAAUAUCUAUUUUUUCAUAUAUAUUAAUAAAUAACUAAAUAUUUUUAUAUUAAAUAUUC
rnacentral:lncRNA from 1 species